rnacentral:misc_RNA from 1 species
AUUGUAAUAGCGCUGAUUUAAAAAGCCAAGUAAGCUUUAUUUGUGGUGAAGAAGACAGCUAGGAAUUAGGGUGAUAAUUGUGAAAAUUAAAAGCCCCCAACGCCCAACUAGCCCACCCAUGACCAACGCUAGUGUUAAGCUUUAAGCGGUUAGCUAUCUGUCUUUGUAUCUGAAUCUGACCCAUCACUGCAUUUAUGGCUUCCACUCAUUCACAUCACCUUAUAAUUCUCUAACCGUUUCCCGUCCCUCCCCUGCAAGUUGCAACCCACAACAGGAUAACACCACUCUUCUUGUCAAUCUCAAUGAAAGAAAAUGGCGAUCAGCCACUCCCUAAGCCACGGAGGCGCCGCCGCCGCUGCUUCAUCGUUGGCGGGUCGAUUCUACUUUUAUUCUUCAUCCUAUUCAUAGUCAUUCUCAUCCUAGCUUUGACAGUGUUCAAGGCUAAAGAACCUAAGGUCCAGGUUAUCUCAGCUUCCCUAGAAGGCGUUUCUCCUCGCAUCUCAUUCCCAGUUAUCAAUAUUGAACUCAACAUCACCCUUAACCUCACGCUUCGAAUCCAAAACCGAAAUUAUGCCAGCUUCAAGCACGGCCCUGGAAAGAGUUUUAUUCUUUACCAUGCAAAAGAGGUGGGAGAAGUAGACCUGGACCCGGGUGUUAUACCCUCUAGGGGGUCAACGACGACUCCGUGCAGGCUUACUAUAGAGGUGGAUGAGUUAGCAUCAAAUCUGAUAAGCUUGAUCGGUGAUAUAUUGUCUGGACAACUUGUUAUGGAAACACGUACAAGAAUUCCAGGGCGGAUUAAUUUCCUGGGGGUAUUCAAGAAGCAUGCUGUUGCUAAAUCUGCAUGCGAGUUCACCUUUGCUUUUCCUGCCAUGAAGAUUAAAAACCUGAAGUGCAAGAGCAAGACCAAGUUAUGAAAGUAAAUCUCACAAAGAUGGCUACAUGAGUGUGUGGUUUUUGAUUGAAGAAUCCUUAGCUCCAGAUUUUAGAUCCCAGUUUUGCCUCCCAGCCCUAUCAUAUGAUGGUUACCCACCAAAGGCCUAUCAACAUAGAAUGGUUUAUUGUUUACUGUUUUAGGCUGAUCUGAUUUUUGGGUUCAGUAUUGUAGAUUUUCUUGUAAAAUCCAGAUCCAUUUGUCUUGUGCCUUUGUGCAGACACCUCGAGGCCAGACAAAUUCUUGUUCAUAUAUAUAUAUAUAUGCAAACAAAGUUUUCUUAGUGCUUUUUUUUGGGGGGCUAUCUAUAGAUGAAUUAUAUUUAUACACAAUUCGAGACCUGUUAACCCAGCAUGUGUUGAAAUUUGAUUAGGCUUUAAGAAGGUCUGGUCUGACAUGUAAUUGCCAAUCUCAUCGCGCGCUUUCAAUCCAGAAGGGAGCUUCAUCACCAUUGCAUUUGUUUCUAUAGUUGCCAAAUUGCAAUUCCGCAGUUGAAAGGAGAAAAUGCGUUAAAAAUGACAGUGAUCUUUUCUGUUACAUUGGCUACUUAGCAGAUUAAGUAGAAGUAUUAAUUCUGUAGCAUGAGGAAACUAAUUAUAAAUAACAAAAUACCAACGCUUAGCAUAAGCUUUUGUCUUUACCAGCAGCAUAGUUGGUUGAUAAUUACAGAUUCAGGUAAGAAAAACACCUAUAUCACCUACUAUAGUAUCAGACUAUGAGCAGAUGCAGAUCAAGUUUAAACUCAGAACCAUCAUCCCAAAUCAUCAUUUGUGAGGCGACCGCAUGCAUCCCAAAGUGAAUAUGUAUUCCAAGCUAGGCAGUGUACUGACAAAGCAAACCAAUAAAUGAUGGAGCACAAAUGCACAAUUUGCCGCUGCCAAGUCGAACAAUAUGCUAGUAUAAUGAAACUCAAUGUCGAGCAUGCACAGGGCAGUACAUUGCUGGUUUAUUGGCCAGUUUUAGUUACCAACAAAAGCAUGGGAUUCUGUUGCUGCAUGAUGCACAUUCUCUGGCGCAGUUCCUCCACAGGAUUUUCAAAUUAGUUAUUCCAAGAGAAGGUGCUUUACGUUGUUCCUACCAAACAACCCCUCAGAAAUGAAAGGAACCCCUUUCUUAUCCAAUUCAUCAAUUACCUUCAUUAUUCUCAUUAUUAUUUCAUGGAAUUCAUCAAUCACAUACGCACAAUCAUCCAUAUCAGUCAAAAAGGUAUUAGAUCAUUAUUACUUAGGCUCAAACACAAUGCCACCGGGCAGAGAAAGGAAGACAUUCAUGUUCACGAAUGUAGAAGCUAACAUUAUGAUUCCACGAAUGUAGAAGCUAACACUAUGAUUACACAAAGAUGCACAUAAACAAUGAACUGAUCUUGUUGCUGUCUGAGAAAAGAAACACUUGAUGAUUUCCAAGGAAAUUAAUAAAGCAUCAACAAUUCCUUUACAAUGCUACUAGUACACUGUAAUCUUGGUCAGACAGCAAUUUCCCCUGUCUAAAUUAGAUCUCUAAGGCACACAAGUUAAACUCGAGAGUCACAAAAGUUAGAGCUUUAACUAAUACAUAAUGCACGCUUGCAAAACUAGUUGGCAGGGUAGUGUCACAUUUUCAACAUCACAGGUAAGGCCCACCAUCAGAAUUCAAUCUUUCUGCAUAAUCCCAAAUCAAUAAGCCUUGAUUUACCAGUUGGUUUCAACGGAGCACCUGGGCAAGUUUCAGCAACUUGAUUUAGUCGAGGAGCUGAGGGAGGUGUUCUGCAAGCAUCAGAAUCCCAUUCCAUAUUUGAUAGUUCAGCAAAAGCACUCUCUGUUUGCUCACAAAUAAUAGCCUCCAAGAGAUUUUCAUAGACUGAUUUGAACAUCUCCUCAUCUAAAAUGGACUCCACUCCAUCACCAGGACUUGUAUGGCCCAAACCCUUGAGGGAAGUUCCAAAGUUGAGUCUUCGUGCAACACUGAUCCUUGCUUCAUCAAAGUAUUUCUUAGACUGGGGAGCGAAGACUUUGUCAUCUUGACUGGGAGCAAAUGGGUCAAAAACACCAUCUUUAGGUGUUUUGGGGCUGCUAGAAUUGUGAACAUUGGGGAAUUGAUCCUGAUUUCUGUUGGUUUUAGAAUCAAAGGUAAGUACUUUAGGCAGUUUUGUCACCAUAGUGAACGGAGAACUAAGAUCCAAGAGAAAAUCCCCAUUUUCUUUGUUUGCAUCAGGAGUGAUAGGCCCAAGAGAUAGCUCAAUUUUUGCCUUAUCAGCUUCUUCACUACAAGUUUCAUCCAAACUUUGCGUGGACUUUUGGGAUGAGUCAUGGCUUUUCCCCAUUUCAUGGGUACAAGUAUAAGAAUCCAUAAAACCUAUAUGAUAAUGACAAAGAAAAUGAACAGAAAGUUAUCCGUAGAGAAGAAAUCAAUCAUAGCUAUCAGUAAACCUCUUUUAAAAAAUGUUAAAUCUAAACUAAAAUCAAUUUUUUGGGGGAAAAAAAAGAGAAAUCAUCCCAAUGAAAACAUGCAGAAUCAUGCAUCCUAGGGAUUUUGCAAGUCUAAAUUAAAUAAAAAAUCUUAAAGUUCCUACAUUUUGCACAAAAAACUGAGAUACUCCAAUUAAAAUCUCAGAUACACACAAUUGAUUCAGCCACAUACAUAAGAGAGUGAGUUAACAAAACCCUAAAAUCCAUAGUGAAAGUAUCUAAACUCCGACUCCAAAAGGGAACAGAGAAAUUUCAGAUGAGAGAAAAUGAAUGAGAGCUUACCUGAUUUGAUGGAAGUCCUGGCGGAGGAAGAUAUAGCAAAACUUGCAACGGGGGCGUCGUUUACAGCCGGGGAAAGAAAAUGCUAGAGCAUUUAGAGAGAAAAUGAAUUAAACGGCACCGUGUUUGGUGAAUGCUGAAUGGUUUGACUGGUUUUCAUAAUCUAGGGCUUUUCAAGUUCCAACUUGCAAACUGAAUUGGGAUAUCACAUGAUGAGAUCUAUGAAUCUGAGUUUGCGUUUUUUUUUGGUCUGGGC